UACAGAGGUCCCAAGCGUUGUUCGGAUUUACUGGGCGUAAAGGGUGCGUAGGUGGUGAGGUAAGUCUGAUGUGAAAUCUCCGAGCUUAACUCGGAAAUGGCAUUGGAAACUACCUUGCUAGAGGGUUGGGAGGGGGGACUGGAAUACUUGGUGUAGCAGUGAAAUGCGUAGAUAUCAAGUGGAACACCAGUGGCGAAGGCGAGUCCCUGGACAACUCCUGACACUGAGGCACGAAAGCUAGGGGAGCAAACAGG
rnacentral:rRNA from 1 species